GAAAUCUGUAUAAUAUCAGCCACAACCAAUAGCAGCCACAACCAGUGAUCACGGGCUCACGAUCCUUCUAGAGAAGAAAAGGUGGAAUUUGGGCAACAUGCAGGUGAGGAAGAAGAAAGUGGAACACAAAACUGAGGUAUCACUACGGACUUCUGGGAAUUACAGGAAGAUUGCCUCACCCUGCAUGUGAGAGCAGUUAGAUACUUCAACGCUAAAAGUAGGGAAGCUGCCUUGAAGAGAAAGUGGGUCAACUCAAGGCUAAGUUGUAAGAUGACAUGAGCCUAAGGUUCAAGGUCUCGUAAGGGAUCUCCCUUGUCUGAUGGAUGUAUCAGAGGUUGAGCAAGUUAACAUGGGUCACAGUGGUAUAGUGGAAGAACACAAUUGACACUGAAAACAAAAUAUUUAUUCUGUCAGUCUCAGUUGGUUAUUUGUUCAGUGGUUGUUGAGCAGGUACCAUGUACUCGACACUGCUGAAUGCAGAGCACCCAAAGGCAAGAAAACACAGUUUGAUCUUAAGGAUCCCACGAGGAAGGUAAGCCAAAGAGUUAUUCAUUUUCCUACUCUCCUCCCCAAAUCCAUCCACUCCCCUCCUUUGUCUGCCUACCUUCCUCACCCAGAAGUUGACCCUGAGCUCUGAAUCACCUUGCCUUGUGGCUUCUAGUUGGGCUUGGUCUAAAGGAGUCACCAUUAGGAAAUUCGAAGGUGGGGAAAAAAGAGAGAUCGAGGCUUUUUUUCCUCUCCCUCAUGAGCUGGAAUGGGUUUUCUGAUGAUGCUGUCCCGCUACCCCCACCAUAACUACAGUUUCUGUAAGAUAACCCCUUCUGCUUGUCCUGAGCUCCCAAUGCUCAAUGCUUUCAUAAUACUCUUUGCUUCCUUUGCUGUUUUAUUCCUUUGAGUGUUAGUGGUAUCUCACUGUU